AGUGCUUGUAGAGUAUGUGUAAAAUGUAGAUAUAUGUUGGUGUUCUUUCAUUUCUUUGUUUUUUCUUUUGUUCCGGGGGGCAAUAUACAGUGCUAAUGACAGCCCUUCCGAUGGUAGAUUUUUGUAUAAGACUGUUGCAAUUUUAGCCAUAUGAACGAAGUAUUUCUUUCUGUGUAGACUCACAUUGUCUUGAAUCAUGUUAGUGUAUAAUGUUUUUAGUGUUAAUAGAUCUUCUCAAUUUGGUUACUUUGAGUGCCAAAGUCUAGUUAUUACAAGAAGCAUAAAAAGAUGUACCAAUAUAUAUGGUCUGUUUGUGAUGCCUAAAAAUGGUACAGGAAGCAAAAAAA
rnacentral:lncRNA from 1 species